UCUGGUUCCUUCUCAGUUAGGUAGGCUGUGUCAGAGGGAAGGUCUAGGGCUCAAGGCUGCUGUUCAAAUUCUUUUGUCCCAUGGGGUGUUCCCUUGAUGAAGUACUCUCUCCCUUUUCCUAGGGAUGUGGCUUCCUGAGAGCUGAGCUGUUGUGAUUGUUAUUUCUCUUCUGGAUCUAGCCACCCAGCAGGUCUACCAAGCUCCGGGCUGGUACUGGGGAUUGUCUGCACUGGGUUCUGUGAUGUGAACAGUCUGCAGAGUCAUCCGCUUUCUUCAGAGAGUCUGUGGGUUUUCUCAGCUUUCC
rnacentral:lncRNA from 1 species